rnacentral:rRNA from 1 species
UACGUAGGGUGCAAGCGUUAAUCGGAAUUACUGGGCGUAAAGCGUGCGCAGGCGGUUUUGUAAGUCUGUCGUGAAAUCCCCGGGCUCAACCUGGGAAUUGCGAUGGAGACUGCAAGGCUAGAAUCUGGCAGAGGGGGGUAGAAUUCCACGUGUAGCAGUGAAAUGCGUAGAGUAUGUCGGAGGAACACCGAUGGCGAAGGCAACCC